rnacentral:lncRNA from 1 species
CGCAGAGUCCCUGCUCCAAGGUGCCAAUAAGCCAGGCCCCCCGGAGCUUACACAGGUGUGUCCCUGAGGACCUACUCCAGGCCUACUGUGCUCAGAACUGUGGGCACGACAGACAAGGUCCUGAGUUUGUAGCUUAGUCGGAUUCAGUGGAAACAGGAUUACAGAACACAGUGGAGUCUGAUGAAGUUAUUACACAGGGAAGAGAACAGAAACCAAAAGAUGCUUUGAGAGGAAACAAAUAUUAAAGAAAAGGGAGAGGAGGCUUCGAGAUGGUGGGCAGAAGAGGACCAACAGGCAGAGGGAUCAUCAUCUCACAGCAUUUACUAAAGUGCCAAAUUAAAAACCCCUUGCUGUGGACAGCCAGGUCGCUCAGUGGUUUAGUGCUGCCUUCAGCCCAGGGCGUGAUCCUGGGGACCCGGAAUCGAGUCCCACAUCAGGUUCCCAGUAUGGAGCCUGCUUCUCCCUCUGCCUGUGUCUCUGCCUCUCUCUCAUAAAUAAAUAAAUAAAAUCUUAAUAAAAUAAAAACCCCUUGCCAUUCCUAAAAUGAAUUUCGCUCAUGCCCCAAGGAGGUAGGGAGAGCAGCUGAAGACAGCAUUUCCCAGCCCCGUCAGUGUGGGCAUGCGACUCAAUUCUAGCUAGGAAGAUGCAAGUGGAAGUAACGUGUAUAGGGGAUCCCGGGGGGGCUCAGUGGUGUAGCGCCGCCUUCCACCCAGGGCAUGGUCCUGGAGACUCGGGAUCGAGUCCCACCAUCGGGUUCCCUGCAUGGAGCCUGCUUCUCUCUCUCUCUGUGCCUCUCAUGAAUAAAUAAACUAUCUUAAAAAAAAAAAAAAAAAGGAAGUAACGGGUACAACUUGUUUCCUUAAAGCUAGGAAGAACAUCCUUGCUGCUCGAAACGCGGGUGCAGUAGCUGGGGCCCCAGUGGUCCUCGUGGACCAGGAGGGGACCUUGAGAAGAGACGCCACACACAGUGGAAAAACAAGCUCAAAGAAUCCAGGGUCCCUGAUGUUCAGGGAACCAUGUUACUGAGACUUCCUACCUCCAGAUUUCUUUUACAUGAUAGAAAAUAUAGUUUUCAAAAAUGAAAUCAUAUUAUCGUGAUAUUCGUAAGAGAAAAACAGGGUCCUCCUCUCACCGCUGCCCUGCUCACUGUCCAGAGGUAGCUGCUUUCAGCUCUUAGAAUCCUCUGGCAUUUGUCUCCCUGCUUUUUAUAACAUGCUUAUGCCAUUUUCCUUAUUUUGCAAUUUUAGACAUUAUCUUACAGAAAGACUGGCAGAUUUCCUCUCUUAUGCCCUUCCUUAUCCCAAUAUGUGGUUGUUGUUUUUUUUUUUGGUUUUUUUUACUAUUUUUCUUGCAUUACUUGUUGGUGUUUAAAUUAUUAUGACUAACUUAAUACAACAGAGUGGAAUUCAGUGAAAUGGAAAUGGACAAAUGAUAAAAGAAAAUCAAUGAAACCAAAAGCUGGUUCUUUUAAAAGUUAAAUUGAUACAAGAGGCACGGAGUACUGUGUAGAUUUGCUGAAUCACUCUAUUGUACACCUGAAACUAACAGAACACUGUUUGCUAGCUAUACUGGAAUUAAAAAACAAAUUAUUAUGACUAAAUGAAGAAGACUGACAGUUGAAGUGGGCAGUAUACUAUCAUGAUACUUUUUUUUUAGUGAAAUUUUGAUACUCCUGGAGUUAAUAAUCCCACUCACCUUUCUUCCUGCUUUUUCUUUGUAGCUAUUAUUAAUUGAACCCCAAACUCCUCCAUUAUGCAAAAACCCAGCAGGUUUACCCUCCUAGGGACUCCUGCCCUCCACCUGGUUGCUGCUGGAUUUGCUUCAAGCUAUUUUUCUUUUUCUUUUUCUUUUUUUUUUUUUAAGAUUCAUUUAUUUAUUCAUGAGAGACAGAGAGAGAGAGGCAGAGACACAGGCAGAGGGAGAAGCAGACUCCAUGCAGGGAGCCCGACGCGGGACUCGAUCCUGGAUCUCUCGUGAGCUGAUCCUGGAUCCCGUGAGCCGAAGGCAGAUGGUCAACUGCUGAGCCACCCAGUUGUCCCAAAGCUACUAUUUUUCAAUCUUGACUUAAAUCAGAGCAAAUUCCGCCCGUCACAGCCUGCUUUAUCUCCUCACCCCACUCUCCCCCAAACCUGGACUUAAGCUUAUGGAGGUUGGGAGUGCUGCUUUGAUUCAAUCACCUAGCCUUUCCUCUCUCAGGCAACUAGAGGUCCUCUUCCAUUCCGUCUGCUUGGAAUUCACCGGGUUGUUUUUCUCCAUGUCCAGUUCUAGCAAAGGAGCCACCAAGUUUCAGGGAAAAGCAUUAACAGUGAGUAUUUCUAAACCUUGACAUACUUGGAUGCUAAGAUCACAGCUAAUAAUAGGAAAUAAAGCAGCCAAGUGUGUCGUUCCUGAUGAGAGAAUUACCAGCUGGAUCAGAAACAUGGUACUUGGAGAGGGAGAGACGAGGAUGGGACCACUUCGGGGUACCAACUGGGUGCCAGCAUAGACUUAGCCGGAACAGGGGCUCGAGUCCUUUUUUUUAGCAGGUGUCCAACAUUCAUUUCAUAUAAUCAGGAAAUGUUAGACUACCCCAACGGACACAAACCGGUGGCCUUUGGACAAAAUCAGACCUACAUAGUCUCAGUCAGCAGUGUUUCUAAACUUUUGAAUGCUUUAAAAAAAUUAUUUAUUCAUGGGAAACACAGAGUGAGAGGCAGGCUCCUGAAGGGAACCCAAUGUGGGACUCGAUCCCAGGACCCGGGGAUAAUGCCCUGAGCUGAAGGCAGAUGUUCGGGUGCCCCUUGAAUGCUUUUUAGGUUGGCAUUCCCUUUCACCCCACUUCCCUUCAUACCCCACCCCCAAAAGUGUGGCGGAGAACUCUAAUAACCCAGUCUCUUUAAGGUACAGAAGAUGGAGGGAAAAAUAUUCGAGGGGGGAUGGUUCAAGUCACGCAGCUAGGUGGCGGCCAAGCAAGGACUAAGCAACUCCAACAGCCUUCCGGAGACGCCACAUUGCCGCUCUCUCUAACUCAGCCGCGUGUCCUGGCCUGUGCAGGCUGAGUCAUCAGUUUACUCACUAGGAACAGAUUUAGAGCGCAGUGAUUGAGAGAAGCGCCAGGGCUAUUCCCCACAGGCCGGGUAAAACAUUCCUGGCUCACCAGAGAACAUCCAUAACCUCCAAGUCAAGCGAUCAGAACAUCUGAGCGCACCCGCUUCGGUGUCCUGCUAUACACACUGCUGACUUUCCAUUUCAUUCCCCCAUCUUGCAGGCUUCUGGCCAACCAUCUCUUUUCGUUUAAACAUAAUCCUUUGUCCAGAGUACAAUGCAAUCACUUGGUAUCAGCUAUUUGGUGAUUUUUAAACAUCUGAAAGAACUCUUGUAGCUUCUUACUCAGUGUCCUUUGGUUAACAAGCCCUAGACAGCGGCCCCGUAGCAGCCGUAAACCAGGCAGGCAGCAGGGCCCUCGUGGAUGGACACCUCUUGCUGUGCCUGCAGCUCCCGAGAGAAGCCUUCCACAGGAGUGCCAGCUUCCUCAACAGAAUUAGAAACACCUAACAUCUGCACCACACCUCCCUCUAUUUUCCUUAACUCCUGUUCCUUUGCCUACACCACUCAUUUUGACACUAAAUAAUAUUUAGAAAGAUUAAAUUUAUCACAAGUGUGCCUUUCAGAUUCCUAACGAUAUUUUAAGGCUCUAAAUGGAAAGGGGAAAAAAGUACAGAUUUUGGAGACACACUCCUGGGGUGCAAAUCCGAGCUCUGCCAUUUAUUGGCUGUGUGACCCAGGCAAGUCCCUGAGCCUCUGGGUCUAAGUG